GCAAAAUAAUGUUACAGAUAAAAACCUCCUCGUCUGGUGAACUGCACCCCAAAAGUUAGACACAAAAUCUAACGAUUGGGGUGCUAUUUUUU
rnacentral:sRNA from 1 species